GUAGGGAGUAUUGCGCAAUGGGCGAAAGCCUGACGCAGCCACGCCGCGUGGAUGAUGAAGGCCUUCGGGUCGUAAAGUCCUUUUCUGAGGGAAGAAUGGUCUGGUGAGGAAAUGCACUGGGCGUGACGGUACCUCAGGAAUAAGCCACGGCUAACUCUGUGCCAGCAGCCGCGGUAAUACAGAGGUGGCUAGCGUUGUUCGGAAUUACUGGGCGUAAAGGGAGCGCAGGCGGCUAAAUGAGUCUGAAGUGCAAGCCCGGGGCUCAACCCCGGAAUUGCUUUGGAUACUGUUUGGCUUGAGUAUGUCAGAGGUGAGCGGAAUUCCAGGUGUAGCGGUGAAAUGCGUAGAUAUCUGGAGGAACAUCGGUGGCGAAAGCGGCUCACUGGGACAAAACUGACGCUGAGGCUCGAAAGCGUGGGGAGCGAACGGGAUUAGAAACCCCGGUAGUCC
rnacentral:rRNA from 1 species